GGCAGCUUCUGCUAGUGUUUAGGUACUAGUGCAGUGUAGAACCCUUUUCUCAGGCAAAACCUAACAUCUGACCGCACCCUUUUUGCUAUUAAAAAAAAAAAAAAGCUUCUAUUUUUUUCCUCCUGUCGUUAAGAUAAAUUCUCCAGUAGACAACCUCUCCCACUAAUUGUGUAUUAGCAACGUAUUUUAUCUUGAGAGCUUGUACACUGGGCUCUCAACGUGGUGUGGAAGGUAGCCUGUUACAGUGCUGGAUUCAUAAAAGGGCCUUUAUGGUUUGUGAAAGAAUAUCUGUGUGCUUAGGGAGGAAACUUUUUGAUCUGCAGAAAAGCCAGAAGACAUCUAGGUAUAUAACCAGCAAUGAAAUUGCUGGAUCAUGUAGUAGCUCAAUUUUUGUUUUUUGAGGAAACUCCAAACUGUUCUCCAUAGUGGUUGUACAAAUUUACAUUCCACCCAACAGUGUACAAGGAUUCUCUUUUGUCCACAUCCUCGCAAGCAUUUGUUACUGCCUGUAUUUUGGACAUAAGCCAUUUUAACUGAGGACAUCCAUAAAAAUUCAUCAGAGAGCAUUUUACUACUGAGCUGCAAAGGUAGGAAAAAUAAAUUUUUUUUGGUUAGAAAAUAUACUUCUUUCAUCUGCGUUUCAAUAAUUUAUUCCCCUUGUUAGAUAUACAUGGAAUUGAUAUUGCUUAUUCUGACUAAGUGAAAAGUGUUAUUUCUACUUACUGCUCAAUUAGAAACAUGUAGUGUUUAAUUGUCAGUUUGAAUUUUUCUUUCAUACUAUUACAGUUUAUAUUUUACUAUAGGCAGAAUUUCCUCUUUAUCCUAAAUUUUGAUAUUCUCCAUAAUUUCAUCGUGCCUUGACAUUGCUGUAUAUAAUUUCUAUACAUCAGGAAGGCAAUUCUGUGUGCAUGUGUGUGUGUAUAUAUAUAGUUAGAAGUUAGAAACUGAAACUCUUUUUUGUCUACCAUCAUUUCAUAUUUUUCUUGCUAUUUCAAACCUAUAAUUUUUAAAGAAACGACUAACGUAAUCAUUCAUAGAAUAUGCUGUCAGUAACUUAACAAUAUAAAUGUUAACAUGGAGGCAUUUAGUUCAGCAUUUGCUUUACUUAAUAGAGUGCAGAAAAUGUGGCCCUUUUCUCAGUUAGGGUGUAUGUGAAGAUAAAUUUAGAAUUUCUAGACUAGUAAAUACUUCUCUGAUAAUAACUUAAUUAUAGCUAUUUCAAACCAAAUUGUUUAAUUGUGGUGAAUCAUAUGUAAAUUGUUCAGAUGUAGGUCAACACCCACGCCCACAUUCUAGCACCUCUUUCCUAAUUCAAGACAACUUUGCAGUGCCUAAAAGAGCUGAACAGUGCAGAUUAGAGACAUAAGACAAAAAAAAAAAAAAAACACAAAA
ensembl:lncRNA MIR99AHG mir-99a-let-7c cluster host gene